CACUCCUGCGGGAGGCAGCAGUGGGGAAUAUUGCACAAUGGGCGCAAGCCUGAUGCAGCCAUGCCGCGUGUAUGAAGAAGGCCUUCGGGUUGUAAAGUACUUUCAGCGGGGAGGAAGGCGAUAAGGUUAAUAACCUUGUCGAUUGACGUUACCCGCAGAAGAAGCACCGGCUAACUCCGUGCCAGCAGCCGCGGUAAUACGGAGGGUGCAAGCGUUAAUCGGAAUUACUGGGCGUAAAGCGCACGCAGGCGGUCUGUCAAGUCGGAUGUGAAAUCCCCGGGCUCAACCUGGGAACUGCAUUCGAAACUGGCAGGCUAGAGUCUUGUAGAGGGGGGGAGAAUUCCAGGUGUAGCGGUGAAAUGCGUAGAGAUCUGGAGGAAUACCGGUGGCGAAGGCGGCCCCCUGGACAAAGACUGACGCUCAGGUGCGAAAGCGUGGGGAGCAAACAGGAUUAGAUACCCUUGUAGUCCCAUGA
rnacentral:rRNA from 1 species